rnacentral:lncRNA from 1 species
GCCUCAAAUGACCUUUCCCCAUCAUGAACUUCAUGUCUCAAAACAGAAAGCCACAUCCUGUUCCCUUGUGCAGUGUGCCCCUCCCCAUGAUUCUGCUCAAGCUGUUUCCUGUGUCAUACCUCUCUCUCUUUGGCUAGCUGGGCUCAUUACUCUGGGCUCAAGGACCGAGAAUCCUACAUGGAGCUAAAUGCAUGUCUUCUGAAGUCCAGCUACAGUAGCACAAAAAUGACCGUCAUCUAAGUUAGAUUACAUGGAAAUUGGAAGUUGGAGAAACCAUGUGGGGCCACAGAGAGGUAGAGGUGGCAGAGGAGCACCAGCUGUACCAGUAUCCAUCCCUCUGAGGCUUCCUAGUGAGAACUGUCAAACUGGAGUGUGCUAGCCUGCAGAGAAUGCCAAUCCCUGGACUUCAAGUCUGAAGCAUCUCUACCUGGACCAGUUAGCAGAGAUGAAAAGAAAUAGCUCCAAAGCAGCUCUACCUGGACCAGUUAACAGAGAUGAAAAGAAAAAGCAUCAUUGGUCCAUUUGAGUCCUGUGUGUUGAUUAUUUAUCUUGCCCCUCUUAUCCUGUUGAAGGGAACAGUGUUUUGCACAAGACAUUUCAAGGCCAAGUUCUCAGCACAAAGGAGAUUUACUUGCCCCAGAGGAACAGAGGGCAGGGAAAAAGAGACAGAGACAAGAGAUAGAGGACAAGGGAGAAGGGGAAAGGAACAGGGGAGAUGGAGAAGGGGUGUUUGUCCUGAAGGACAAAGGAUUGCCUCUGGAUAGAGAGGAGACAGAUGUGGCCCACAGGAAAACGGUGGUUUAUAAAGGUAAAUGAGGAAACCCUGUGUUAGGAUGAGGUGCCUAAUUUUGAUUAGACAGGUUAAUUAGGGUGACCACAAGGGGGCUUUUGAUUGCUAGACUUCAGUUCUUUUAGCUGGACCUUGGCAGUCAGUCUCAGGGGGAGGAAGUGGCCAGACAGGGGAGCAGACCUUGCAGGCUAGCUUUAGGAAUGCAAUUUAAUAUUUUUCUCAAGGAAGAAGGAAUAGGGGAGAAAGGCAAGACCUGCCAGAGCCAUUUUUGCCAUGGCCAGGCCACGAGUCCCUGCCAAGUACAUGGUGAUCCUUAAUGUCAGCACUCGGGAGGCAGAGGCAAGCAUAUCUCUGAUUUCAAAGCCAGCUUGGCCUACGAAAUGAGUUCCAGGCUAGCCAGGGCAGCAUGAUGAGGUCUGUCCAAAUAUAAAAUAAAAUUAAAGUCAAGGCAGGAAUGCAUGAACACCAUUCUCUUUCUCGCCCCUAUGGCAUUUCAGUAAUAAUAAACCGUAAUUAUUACCAGUAGGCAAAGCUUGGGAGUCUGCUUCUUCUGAUUCACCUUGGGGUUCGAAGACGUUUUCUUCGCAGAGCCCUCCUAGCAUUUGAUGGCUUUGUUCUUUCCUUGACAUUUUCAGCUUUUUAAAUAGAUGAAUAUUUAAUGUCAUGUUCCAUAGGCCAGAUUCUUUGAAGCCAAAUAUCAUGGGUUAGUUCUCACUUUUUAAAGGGGUGGUGGUCACUCA